GACGGAGGGUGCUAGCGUUGUUCGGAAUUACUGGGCGUAAAGGGCGCGUAGGCGGUGCACUAAGUCAGGCGUGAAAGCCCUGGGCUCAACCCGGGAAUUGCGCUUGAUACUGGUGCGCUUGAAUCCAGGAGAGGUUGGUGGAAUUCCCAGUGUAGAGGUGAAAUUCGUAGAGAUUGGGAAGAACACCGGUGGCGAAGGCGGCCAACUGGACUGGUAUUGACGCUGAGGCGCGAAAGCGUGGGGAGCAAACAGG
rnacentral:rRNA from 1 species